AAUGCUAGUCUUGUCUUGUUUUGUAGGACUCACAGAGGCUUUAUGUAAUUACCAGAUGGUUUGGAUAGAAAUGCUUAGUAAAGCAUGGAUUUCCAUGGGCAUUAAUUUUUGCUUCCAUUGUUGGGGCAACUGUAUUUUUGAUUGCUGUUGUUAUGUUUCAUCAAAGAAAAAGACGAAAAGGAAAAUGCCUUAAAUCACAAUCUAUGGAAUUGACUAAAUUUUUAAUAGAAUUUACAAUAAUAUUAUUGUAUUUUUGUCAAUGUAAGACAGCAGUGGUCAUGGAAUUAGUAUACUUAGCAACUCUCAGGUGUUAAUUUCUUGUAAGAAAAAAUGUCACUUGUUUUUAUGUAUAAUGAUUUUUGACAGAGCAUUAUUGUCGGCUCGAUCAAGUCCAGAAAUGAAGUAAAAUUAGUAUUGUUCUCUAAGUAUUUCUUUGAAAAAGAAAUUGAUAAUUUCUAUUGCUUUCUGAGCAUAGAAAAGGAUCAAAAUGUCAUUGUAAGUGGAAAGAUCAUGGAUUGCAGGAUAAUUAGAAUGAUUUUUUAUGGCUGUGGACUUUUUUGUUUAAAUAAAAAUGACAAUUUUACUUUG